ensembl:snoRNA
GAGCUCCCAUGAUGUCCAUCAGUGGGGCUCUGGCCACCCUUGUGGAUAUGGUGCCUUCCCAAGACCUUUGAUGCUCUGGGGUCUGAGUGGCCA